UAACUCAGACUGAUAAGAGCCAAGGUGUAGCUGGCUGGUUGCAGCACACCCAGAUGUAGCUGGGAGUGAAUUGCAUGCUGGAGAUUGUUUGGGAGAAAUCCAGGCUGGAGGCUACAGCAGUAAAGGAUUAUAAAGGGCAUCCCAGGUCAGAAGGCAGGGGUGACACAGCUACUCACUAGUCUAGGUUGUACCAUGGGGCACCGGCAACGAGCCUCGUGUGAUGGCAAGGAGCUUACAAGCCGAGCAGACAAAAUGCAGAGGGAUGAAAGGUUGUUAUCCUUGUUGUGUGAACCGAGGGCAGCAGAACUGUACCUGGCAUAUCCGGAUGGAGAGACUCACCCUCAACUUAAUGGCCGUCGCUAGGCAGGGGACAUGGGUUCCAAAGCCCAAUGCAUUGAGAGGGGGUUGGGAUAGUUGUACUUGGUGGAGUGGGCCCUGUUUAAGGGUCUUAAAAACCAUCUGACCCUUUCUCUUUCCACAGUAAAAUAAAAGAGCUAAUUUAGGCUCAGUUGAGAGUCUUGUUACAUGC